rnacentral:rRNA from 1 species
AUAUGCCUACGGGUAAAAGGCUUGCUGCCUGAAGAAGAGCUUGCGUCCGAUUAGCUAGUUGGUGGGGUCAAGGCUUACCAAUGCGGCGAUCGGUAGCUGGUCUGAGAGGAUGACCAGCCACACUGGGACUGAGACAAGGCCCAGACUCCUACGGGAGGC